GAUGAUGAUCCCAAGCCUUCUGGCGAUCUCUUAAAAUAAAGCAUGAUCUGUUUUUGACAAACAGGGCGUUUAGACAUAUGUUUAAAUUCUUAUGAUCUUUGAAUUUUUAUGAAGCUUAAACAUCACGAAUUUGAGAAGGGCUUUAUGAAGAAAGCACUUUAAGCUUUUCAGGCGAUUUAAGAUGAUACCGGGGAAGGUUUUCCGGUUUAUCCCGGAGGGCUUGUAGCUCAGUUGGUUAGAGCGCGCGCUUGAUAAGCGUGAGGUCGGAGGUUCAAGUCCUCCCAGGCCCACCAAUUUAUGCUCAUUUUUUGCUUAUCCAAGAGUAUGAAGCUUAAGCGUAUUCAAGCCUCUUCAAUCUUUGUUUGUUUUAAAGAUUUAAUUUUAUUAUCCAAAGAUUGUCUGGUAAGUUUAUCCUAUUAAGUUCGUCAAAGAGGAUAGGAUUUUAAAUUCCUUCAAAGGUAUAGAAGAAUUUAAAAGGGUAUAGAGAAAUUUAAAUAAUGCAAAUCAAAAUAAUCCAAGUCAUUCCAGUUGAUGAAUAUUCUUAAGGUUGAUUUGAGAGAGCAUUAUUUAGGGGCCGUAGCUCAGCUGGGAGAGCACCUGCUUUGCAAGCAGGGGGUCGUCGGUUCGAUCCCGUCCGGCUCCACCACUUUAUGGUUCAUCAUCAUGUUGUAAGAACGUUGUUUUGCGAGAGGUUUUAUAAAUUUCUUGCCUGUUCU
rnacentral:tRNA from 1 species